GCCAGGUACUGUGGCACAUGCCUGUAAUCCCAGCCGCUUGGGAGGCUGAGGCAGGAGGAUCAUGAGUUCAGAGCCAGCCUCAGCAAUGGCGAGGUGCCAAGCAACUCAGUGAGACCCUGUCUCUA
rnacentral:sRNA from 1 species